rnacentral:rRNA from 1 species
CCCAGACUCCUACGGGAGGCAGCAGUGAGGAAUAUUGGUCAAUGGGCUUACGCCUGAACCAGCCAAGUCGCGUGAGGGAAGACUGCCCUAUGGGUUGUAAACCUCUUUUGUCAGGGAGCAACGCCGGCUACGUGUAGCCGGACUGAGAGUACCUGAAGAAAAAGCAUCGGCUAACUCCGUGCCAGCAGCCGCGGUAAUACGGAGGAUGCGAGCGUUAUCCGGAUUUAUUGGGUUUAAAGGGUGCGUAGGCGGAAUGCCAAGUCAGCGGUAAAAUCGCGGGGCUCAACCUCGGUCCGGCGUUGAAACUGGCGUUCUUGAGUGGGCGAGAAGUAUGCGGAAUGCGUGGUGUAGCGGUGAAAUGCAUAGAUAUCACGCAGAACUCCGAUUGCGAAGG